rnacentral:rRNA from 1 species
GAUGAACGCUGGCGGCGUGCCUAAUACAUGCAAGUCGAGCGAACAGAUGAGGAGCUUGCUCCUCUGACGUUAGCGGCGGACGGGUGAGUAACACGUGGAUAACCUACCUAUAAGACUGGGAUAACUUCGGGAAACCGGAGCUAAUACCGGAUAAUAUAUUGAACCGCAUGGUUCGAUAGUGAAAGACGGUUUUGCUGUCACUUAUCGCUGGAUCCGCGCCGCAUUAGCUAGUUGGUAAGGUAACGGCUUACCAAGGCAAGGAUGCGUAACCGAACUGAGAGACGGAUAGGCCACCCGAGAGCGUAGACACGGACCAGAGUCCUAAGGGAGGCAGCAGUAGGGUAUCUUCCGCAGUAGGCGAGAGCCUGACGGAGCAACGGCACGUGAGAGAUGGAGAUCUUCGGAGCGUAAUACUCGGUUAUUAGUGAAGAACAAAUGUGUAAUUAGCUAUGCACGUCUUGACGGUACCUAAUCAGAAAGCCACGGCUAACUACGUG